UCUUGUGUUCACAGAACUGAAAUGUUGUGUUCUGAAGGACCAAUGUAUCAUUGUUCUGACGCUGGUGGGUUAGAAAAGUUCACAUAACCUGUUCUCUGCUCCAUGGCUGAGACAGAUCCUCAUGAAGUCAAGGUUGCUGGUUGCAGAAUUCUGUGCUUCUUUGUAUCAGGAGAGCCUGACAAGGUGAGCUUGCCCAGAGGUCAUGAACAGAAAGCUCGCAGGCAACAUAAAAUGCUUCAGGCAUAAAGGUUGAAGAAUUUGAAACAGAGAGGAACAAGGGAAGAGGAGAAGAUGGACUUGAAAUCCAAAGUGGAUAGUUCAUCAGCCCAAGAUCACACAGAAAGUCUAACUGUUCUGGCCUCUGGAGAAUAUAAAAUUGGUAUAUGUAAGGUCAAGCCCCAGGCAGAGAAGAGACAGAGGGGGGAACUUGAAAUUGCUGCCACCUGCAUCCCUGGUGCCGGCUCUACCUGGUUUGCACCGCCUGAUAAGCAGCCAAGAAAGAACACUAAGUUCCAAGAGAAGAGCAACUUCACUCCACCUCCCACCAAGGUCAAACCCUACCCUAUAAAAGAUUACCCUCAUCCCCCAAGCGGCGUGGCUUCUCUAACCUCUGUGGUGGUGGAUGAACAUGGGGGGGAGGGAGGGCGCGUAAUAAACUUUUG